UGCUAAUAACCGGAUAACAACAGAUGAUGCCUAUCAACUGUUUAAAAGAUGGUUCUGCUAUCACUCUUGGAUGGACCUGCGGUGCAUUAGCUAGUUGGUAGGGUAACGGCCUACCAAGGCGAUGAUGCAUAGCCGAGUUGAGAGACUGAUCGGCCACAUUGGGACUGAGACACGGCCCAAACUCCUACGGGAGGCAGCAGGG
rnacentral:rRNA from 1 species